AGAGUUUGAUCCUGGCUCAGAUUGAACGCUGGCGGAAUGCUUUACACAUGCAAGUCGAACGGCAGCACGGACUUCGGUCUGGUGGCGAGUGGCGAACGGGUGAGUAAUAUAUCGGAACGUGCCCAGUCGUGGGGGAUAACGUAGUGAAAAUUACGCUAAUACCGCAUACGAUCUAAGGAUGAAAGCGGGGGAUCGCAAGACCUCGCGCGAUUGGAGCGGCCGAUAUCAGAUUAGGUAGUUGGUGAGGUAAAGGCUCACCAAGCCAACGAUCUGUAGCUGGUCUGAGAGGACGACCAGCCACACUGGAACUGAGACACGGUCCAGACUCCUACGGGAGGCAGCAGUGGGGAAUUUUGGACAAUGGACGCAAGUCUGAUCCAGCCAUUCCGCGUGCAGGACGAAGGCCUUCGGGUUGUAAACUGCUUUUGUACAGAACGAAAAGGUCUCUAUUAAUACUAGGGGCUCAUGACGGUACUGUAAGAAUAGGCACCGGCUAACUACGUGCCAGCAGCCGCGGUAAUACGUAGGGUGCAAGCGUUAAUCGGAAUUACUGGGCGUAGAGCGUGCGCAGGCGGUUAUAUAAGACAGAUGUGAAAUCCCCGGGCUCAACCUGGGAACUGCAUUUGUGACUGUAUAGCUGGAGUGCGGCAGAGGGGGAUGGAAUUCCGCGUGUAGCAGUGAAAUGCGUAGAUAUGCGGAGGAACACCGAUGGCGAAGCAAUCCUCUGGGCCUGCACUGACGCUCAUGCACGAAAGCGUGGGGAGCAAACAGGAUUAGAUACCCUGGUAGUCCACGCCCUAAACGAUGUCACUGGNGUGGGUCUUCACUGACUCAGUAACGAAGCUAACGCGUGNAGUGACCGCCUGGGGAGUACG
rnacentral:rRNA from 1 species